rnacentral:rRNA from 1 species
UACGUAGGGGGCAAGCGUUGUCCGGAAUUAUUGGGCGUAAAGAGCGUGUAGGCGGUCCGGUAAGUCAGCUGUGAAAGUCAAGGGCUCAACCCUUGAAAGCCGGUUGAUACUGUCGGGCUAGAGUCCGGAAGAGGCGAGUGGAAUUCCCGGUGUAGCGGUGAAAUGCGCAGAUAUCGGGAGGAACACCAAUGGCGAAGGCAGCUCGCUGGGACGGUACUGACGCUGAGGCGCGAAAGCGUGGGGAGCAAACGGG